rnacentral:rRNA from 1 species
GAUGAACGCUGGCGGCGUGCCUAAUACAUGCAAGUCGAGCGAACGGACGAGAAGCUUGCUUCUCUGAUGUUAGCGGCGGACGGGUGAGUAACACGUGGAUAACCUCCCUAUAAGACUGGGAUAACUUCGGGAAACCGGAGCUAAUACCGGAUAAUAUUUUGAACCGCAUGGUUCAAAAGUAAAAGACGGUCUUGCUGUCACUUAUAGAUGGAUCCGCGCUGCAUUAGCUAGUUGGUAAGGUAACGGCUUACCAAGGCAACGAUGCAUAGCCGACCUGAGAGGGUGAUCGGCCACACGGGAACUGAGACACGGUCCAGACUCCUACGGGAGGCAGCAGUAGGGAAUCUUCCGCAAUGGGCGAAAGCCUGACGGAGCAACGCCGCGUGAGUGAUGAAGGUCUUCGGAUCGUAAAACUCUGUUAUUAGGGAAGAACAUAUGUGUAAGUAACUGUGCACAUCUUGACGGUACCAAAUCAGAAAGCCACGGCUAACUACGUG